CCUACGGGUGGCAGCAGUGAGGAAUAUUGGUCAAUGGCCGGAAGGCUGAACCAGCCAAGCCGCGUGAGGGAGGAAGGCGCAGAGCGUCGCAGACCCCUUUUGCCGGGGGACAAAAGGCCGGACUCGUCCGGUCCUGAGGGUACCCGGCGAAAAAGCAUCGGCUAACCCCGUUCCAGCAGCCGGGGAAAUACGGGGGAGGCGGGCGGUUUCCGGGUUCAUGGGGGUUAAAGGGUGCGCAGGGGGGCCUUUAGGCCGGCGGUGAAAGCGCGGGGUUAAACCCCGCCGAGCCGGCGGGACUGGGAGCCUAGAGUACGGGAGAGGCAUGCGGAAUGCGCGGUGUAGCGGUGAAAUGCAUAGAUAUCGGGCAGAACACUGAUUGCGAAGGCAGCGAGCCGGGCGGCAACUGACGCUGAGGCACGAAAGCGCGGGGAGCGAACAGGAUUAGAUACCCCUGUAGUC
rnacentral:rRNA from 1 species